rnacentral:rRNA from 1 species
GAUGAACGCUGGCGGCGUGCCUAAUACAUGCAAGUCGAGCGAACAGAUGAGGAGCUUGCUCCUCUGACGUUAGCGGCGGACGGGUGAGUAACACGUGGAUAACCUACCUAUAAGACUGGGAUCACUUCGGGAAACCGGAGCUAAUACCGGAUAAUAUAUUGAACCGCAUGGUUCAAUAGUGAAAGACGGUUUUGCUGUCACUUCUCGAUGGAUCCGCGCCGCAUCAGCUAGUUGGUAAGGUAACGGCUUACCAAGGCAACGAUGCGUAGCCGACCUGAGAGGGGGAUCGGCCACACUGGAACUGAGACACGGUCCAGACUCCUACGGGAGGCAGCAGUAGGGAAUCUGCCGCAAUGGGCGAAAGCCUGACGGAGCAACGCCGCGUGAGUGAUGGAGGUCUUCUGAUCGUAAAACUCUGUUAUUAGGGAAGAACAAAUGUGUAAGUAACUAUGCACGUCUUGACGGUACCUAAUCAGAAAGCCACGGCUAACUACGUG